rnacentral:lncRNA from 1 species
CUUAGAGUUGAGACGCUCUGUGCACAAAGUGGCUUUCCCAAAUCGUGCUUUGAAUUUACAUGCGGUGAACGCAUCACAAGACUCGAUAGUCACUCGAUAGUGCCUUCUCAAGCCACUCUUCCGUUACUACAGCACGCACUUUCAGGCAACAGCAGCUACUCGCGUCUCUGUGAGCUGAACAGUAAAGAGGGGCCAGGAACGCAAAUGUCUGCUCCUCCUGUCAUUUGGCUGGAGGAAUAAGUGCAGUGGGACCAGGUCUGCUUGUGAUGGAUGGAGGGGCCAUGGCUACUAACCAUGAAGCUAGAGAGACACACCCAUCGCUUCCUUCUGUCAACAAAAUCAUCUGUGGUGCUGCACUGAACACACACUCACCGAGUAUGCCAUCCAGUAACGAGAAAGCCCAGCGGACCGCUUAACACCCACUAUUCCAUCUGAGUAGGAGGUG